UAAUAAUCAUUUGUCUCCUUUUUAUCUAUUGGCUAUUCUAGCACCAAAUUUCAAAAGUAUUUAUAGUGCUUUCCAUUGUUUUCUGUAGAUAUUGUGCAGUCAGUUAAGCAAAGAUUGCUUAAAGAAAACACAAAAAUGCUUGGCUUAAUACUAAGCCAAUAUUCCUAGCCAGUAUGAACUUGUUAUUUUUCAAUAUCAUCAAUUGUUUACUGUUUGCCAACCUACUCACAUUUUCCUCCCAGUUUUAGUAAUUGCAUAUAUGCUUCAUUUCUGUGUACAUGUGGUGUUUCACGUUCCUUUAAUAAAGAAUCUAGAUUACUAAAUUCUAAUACAGGAUCUAGUUUAGGUAGUCAUCAAUGCACACCUUGGCCAAAGGAUAAUCCUGAAAACUAGGCAUGUAAAAUAAGGGUAAUACAAAUGGGAAUAUAAAAAUGCUUUUCCUUGGACUUAGAAUAUAAAAGUCAGUUUCUACACAGUCUUUCUCUGUGCUUUAAAAUGUAGGUUUUAUUAUUUAGGUAUGAUAAGAACAACAGAUCAGGAGAUGACUGCCACUGAAAAGACAGUUUGUUAUUCACAGUUCCAAGAAGAGAGGUGAUGUGGCUUGGCUGUGUUUCCACCCAAACCUCACCUUGAAUUGUUGCUCCCAUAAUUGCCAUGUGUCAUGGGAUGGACCCAGUGGGAGGUAAUUGGAUCUUGGGGGUGGAUUUCCCCCAUGCUGUUCUCAUGAUAGUGAGUGAGUUCUCUCAAGGUCUGCUGGCUUAAAAGUGUGUGGCCCCUCCCCUCCUUGUGCAGCCUUGUAAAGAAGGUGCUUGCUUCCCUUUCAUCUUCCACCAGGAUUGUAAGUUUCCUGAAGCCUCCCAGACUUGCUUCCUGUUAAACCUGCGGAACUGUCAGUCAAUUAAACCUCUUUUCUUCAUAA